UCCUAUUACCAAAUGAAAAUCGAUAGUAUAACAACGAUCGUAUAAACUUUACCUUUAUACUAUCGCUAUUUUUAGACCAUGGUUUUCCGAUCUCUAUCUUAAGAACACUAUAUUUUUCAAUGUGACGUCAUAGCAAAUGAUGACGUUGAAGUAAACAAACACUUCGGAGUCAACUUGGAAAACCAGCGCUGUUUCUUUGAAUUUUAAAGUAUUUUUACUCUUUUUGAACGAUAAACGACCACAAAAUAAUAGGAUAAAUAGAAUAUUAUGUGAGUUUUGGAUAAAGAUCAAGUUUAUCAUGCUCGGCCCGAACCAUGUUAGCGCUCGGCAAGCCUCGCGCUACAUCGGUUCUAAGCCUCGCAUGAUAAACUUGAUCUUUAUCCAAAACUCACUUAAUAUUCUCUAUUUAUUAUCUGUAGCGAUUUUGUGUUUACGUAUUUUUUUGCGGAAAGUGCACAAGAUAAAUAACUUAUACCAAUUGUACUCAUAUAUCGUACAGUAUGUUGCAGAGCCGUUGCGGUAAAUUAAGGCGUAUCCAUAAGACUUCAACAUACACUUAUUAUCCAAUGUGGCCUACAACUAGUCCACCAACUGGGUGCGUUGCCAGCUACUCCUGCCCAGGCUGCCCACCUGGAUACAGCCCGUACAACUUGUAGAUGUAUGGUCAGUGCAGAUGCCUCGGUGAUUGUUUAACAACAUCUAAAACAUCGCAGAGAGCGUGGCAAAUAGCAGCAAAUAGUCAACAAAUAAUCCCAGAAGAAGCAAAAUAAAGAUGUGUGAUUCAUAAAUAUGUAUGCCCAAUUUCUGACUGUUCGUUUUCAUCUCAAACAACGACAGUGUAUUUUUAACGAAAAACAAACAACAAAAUUAUAUAAUACGUGUAUCUUGUAGUAUUUGAAAUGUUUCAAACAAAAACAUACUAGUGAACAUUGUGAAUUAUGAGCCAUUUAAGUUGGGUACCGAACAGGUAUCAGAGACGUAAAUAUGUAUCAUAUUGCUUUCAGAGAGAAUAAACAAUCAUAUGUUCUCGAUUGAAUUUUAAAAGAAUAUGCCACUAUGUAUUUUGAGAGUUCUAAUGG